rnacentral:rRNA from 1 species
UCGAGAAUUUUUCUCAAUGGGCGAAAGCCUGAAGGAGCGACGCCGCGUGGGGGAUGAAGGGCUUCGGUCCGUAAACCCCUGUCAUUUGCGAACAAACCUCUUUGGAUAACACCUAAAGAGCUGAUUGUAGCGAAAGAGGAAGGGACGGCUAACUCUGUGCCAGCAGCCGCGGUAAUACAGAGGUCCCAAGCGUUGUUCGGAUUCACUGGGCGUAAAGGGUGCGUAGGUGGCGAGGUAAGUUUGAUGUGAAAUCUCCGGGCUUAACCCGGAAAUGGCAUUGAAUACUAUUUUGCUGGAGGUUUGGAGGGGGGACUGGAAUUCUCGGUGUAGCAGUGAAAUGCGUAGAUAUCGAGAGGAACACCAGUGGCGAAGGCGAGUCCCUGGACAACACCUGACACUGAGGCACGAAAGCUAGGGGAGCAAACAG